rnacentral:rRNA from 1 species
UAGCAGGAGAAAGCUUGCUUUCUUGCUGACGAGUGGCGGACGGGUGAGUAAUGCUUGGGAAUCUGGCUUAUGGAGGGGGAUAACGACGGGAAACUGUCGCUAAUACCGCGUAGUGUCGAGAGACGAAAGUGCGGGACCGAAAGGCCGCAUGCCAUAGGAUGAGCCCAAGUGGGAUUAGGUAGUUGGUGAGGUAAAGGCUCACCAAGCCUGCGAUCUCUAGCUGGUCUGAGAGGAUGGCCAGCCACACUGGAACUGAGACACGGUCCAGACUCCUACGGGAGGCAGCAGUGGGGAAUAUUGCGCAAUGGGGGGAACCCUGACGCAGCCAUGCCGCGUGAAUGAAGAAGGCCUUCGGGUUGUAAAGUUCUUUCGGUAUUGAGGAAGGAGUGUAUGUUAAUAGCAUACAUUAUUGACGUUAAAUACAGAAGAAGCACCGGCUAACUCCGUGCCAGCAGCCGCGGUAAUACGGAGGGUGCGAGCGUUAAUCGGAAUAACUGGGCGUAAAGGGCACGCAGGCGGUUAUUUAAGUGAGGUGUGAAAGCCCCGGGCUUAACCUGGGAAUUGCAUUUCAGACUGGGUAACUAGAGUACUUUAGGGAGGGGUAGAAUUCCACGUGUAGCGGUGAAAUGCGUAGAGAUGUGGAGGAAUACCGAAGGCGAAGGCAGCCCCUUGGGAAUGUACUGACGCUCAUGUGCGAAAGCGUGGGGAGCAAACAGGAUUAGAUACCCUGGUAGUCCACGCUGUAAACGCUGUCGAUUCGGGGAUUGGGCUUUAAGCUUGGUGCCCGUAGCUAACGU